rnacentral:rRNA from 1 species
GUGAGGAAUAUUGGUCAAUGGGCGGGAGCCUGAACCAGCCAAGUCGCGUGAAGGAAGAAGGAUCUAUGGUUCGUAAACUUCUUUUGCAGGGGAAUAAAGUGCAGGACGUGUCCUGUUUUGUAUGUACCCUGAGAAUAAGGAUCGGCUAACUCCGUGCCAGCAGCCGCGGUAAUACGGAGGAUCCGAGCGUUAUCCGGAUUUAUUGGGUUUAAAGGGUGCGUAGGUGGUUUGAUACGGUAUCGGUGAAAGUUUGCAGCUUAACUGUAAAAAUGCCGUUGAAACUGUCGGACUUGAGUGUAAAUGAGGUAGGAGGAAUGCGUGGUGUAGCGGUGAAAUGCAUAGAUAUCACGCAGAACUCCGAUUGCGAAGGCAGCUUACUAAGCUACAACUGACACUGAAGCACGAAAGCGUGGGGAUCAAACAGGAUUAGAAACCCUUGUAGUCC